CCUACGGGUGGCUGCAGUAACGAAUAUUCCACAAUGCGCGAAAGCGUGAUGGAGCAAUGCCGCGUGCGGGAUGAAGCGCCUUUGGCGUGUAAACCGCUGUCAGAAGAUAGAAACAUUGAUCAUCUUCAGAGGAAGGGGCGACUAACUCUGUGCCAGCAGUCGCGGUAAUACAGAGGCCCCGAGCGUUAGUCGGAAUCACUGGGCUUAAAGGGUGCGUAGGCGGACUGGUAAGUGUUCUGUGAAAGCCCCCGGCUCAACCGGGGAACCGCAGGGCA
rnacentral:rRNA from 1 species